GUUGUUGGGGUAGUUGACUAAGGGGUAGUUUGGGUAUCUUUAGGAUGUCA
rnacentral:tRNA from 1 species